AGUAUUUAUUGAUAAAAAUACACAAAAUAAUAUCAAUGCAAACAUACAGAUAAUAUACGUCAUCAAUACUAAAUCUAAAAGCGCGGGUCUAAUAAUAAUCAAUAAGAAAUAGCUCUAUCGUUGUCUAGGGGAUAAUAUAUUGUCCAAUGGAAAUAUAAAAGUCACUUUAGUUCAUUCAAGUUGCAGCUUUCUGGUUUGAGAGAAAGACAGGUUAAAACUUGCCCAGUCCUUUUAUGAUGUCAAUCCUCCGAGAGUCGUUGGGAGUUGAUUUCCCCAUUGUUAGCUUAAAAACCGUUCUUCCGUGGUCAAGGCACACCGAUUCCGGGGCAAAUGGAAACGGACGCACGUGGUCUUCCCACCGGCUUUUGCUAUUACGGGAUCACUAGCGCUUCUUCUGGUGCGUCUGAGGGGCUGUUCCCACAGACCCUCUUUUACACACAGGGUCUCAAUCAGGUAGGGAUGAUGCAAUCCCUCCACCAACCAGCCCACUUUGCUUGAGGGCUUCCACGUAGCACAGUAUUUUAAUACACAAUUCCAUUGUCUCCAAGAGACAAUGGCCGUUUCCUGUAGCUUUAUAUCGCCGGAGGGGUCAAAACAUUCCAAACGUCUCUCUCUCAUUUCCUGGGUCUCCUGAACUGACUCAAUAGUGAUCUUGUGAUUCUCACAAAGGAGGGGGCUACCCCGCACCUUUCGGCCCCUCAGAUCUGUGGUACAUUCAUAACAAUAUACUCAGUAGGAUAAUUCCCUGUUCAGAAUUAACAUGCAUGAUACUGGCAUCUGUGCAGAGUAUACUCAUACAAAGGAAACAUCUUACUGCUAAAUUGAGACUGACAGAAUUUAACAUGGAAAGUUUGUUCAGAUUUACUGCCGUCGUAAUGUAUAUAAAUACGUACUUGACUUUCUGAAACGUAGUAGACUUUUUGAUGUUGUUUGAGUUUUAUUGGUGGGGGGAAUUUAGUGGGUAAACUUCCUGUCUCUGCUCCACACUCCAACUCAUUAGUUGGCAGUUAUGCACCAUAUGUUGGUCCACCAAGUGUCACUAAAUGUUACAAGAUGAAGAAGAAGCAAAAGAAGAGAAUUUAUCAGAGCAUGACAGGUUGUGGGCUCUUUGAGGGGGGGAAUUCUGACCCACAGUUGCCUGGCAACAGUGAUCAUUGCAGUUUUCAGAGAGUGCUGCCAACUGGGCACAAAGUUUGUUCUUUCAAUUCUCCCAGUACACUGGAAGGAGAAGUGAAGAAUUGUCAAUGUCUCCAGUGUUCAGCCUGCUCACACCCAUUCAUUGUGGUCGCACACCUUUUCCUUUUGUGGUUAUUACCUGUACUGGAUUCCCAAAGUGAUGUUCUGUUAAUGAUCUGGGAGCAGAGCGUCAGGCAGAGAGAUUCAAGAUUCAAGAUCGUUUAGUCAUUCUUCAGUACACAAAUGUAAAGGAGAACGAAAUGAUUGUUACUCUGGAUCUGAUGUUUUAUAAAGCAUGAGGAACACAAUAAAAAUAAAAUAAAGAUAAAAACAAACCCAUAAAAGACAAUAUACUAGUAACUGUUAUAUACAUAGACAUAUAUGUAUGUACCUAAAGUGCCACUGGGUUUUCUCAUUGGGUUGGGUGGGUUAAUGUGUGGAGGUGUUUAUUAGGAGAGUAACUGUUUUUGAAUCCAGUGGUCCUGGCAUAAGUGCUGCGUAGCCUUUUUCCUGAUGGUGGUUGGACAAACGGUUCAUAAGAAGGGUGUGUGGGAUCCUUCAUGAUAUUGCUGGUCUUCUUGCAGCACCUUUCUGUGUAUAAGUUUGUCCUUCAUGGCAGGUACACCUUCUCUCUCAUGACCAUUAGGGGCCUCAUACAGUCUUUCCAGGUGAGGCUCCAGUGUGCCUCCAGUACAUCAGUGAGAUCCAACAUAGAUUGGGAGACUGCUUUGCCAAACACUAAUGCUCCAUCUGCCAGAAAAAGCUAGAGUUCCCAGUGGCCACCAUUUCAAUUCUACAUCCUAUUCCCAUAUGUCAGUCGAUAGACUCCACACCUCUCACAAUGAGGCCACACUCAGGCUGAAGGAGCGACACUUCAUUUUCCACCUGGGUAGCCUCCAGCCUGAUGGUAACAACAUUGAUGUCUUCAAAUUGACUGCCUUCGCCAUUCUGCAUUUGGGUUUUCCUCUCUCACCUUAUCUCCUGACCUGCCAGUCACCUCCCUCUACCUUUCUUCCAUGGCCUUCUACCAUCUCCAAUCAGAUUCCCCCUUCUCCAGCCCUUUAUCUUUCACCCAAACACUUCCCAGCUCUUUGCUUCACUCUUCCCUCUCCCCAGUUUCAUUAUUGAAUCUUUUUAUUGAUUUUCAGUAAAAAAAUAUACAAAUCACAGAAGUUCAGCAAACAUAAUGCAAAGGGCAUAUAAACAGCAAUAAAUAAAAGUACAUAUUGUCAAAAUCAAAUAGGUAUAAUGUUACGCUGUUAUACAGUAUAAUCAGAAAACAGAGCCACAACUCCUCUUAACAGAUAGUAAAAAAAAUUGGAAAAUUUUAUUUAUAUAAGGGAAAAAACCCUGCUAAACUAAAUAAGAACAAAAAAAAGAGAAAUAAAAAAAGGAAGGAAAAGAAAGAUUGGGCAGUCCAUGUGAGGAAAAAAAAUUUUAAAAAAAGGAAGAAGAAAGAACAUCCUUCCAGUCACCUCCGAACCUUCACGGAUAAGGGAGGGAGGGAGGGAAGGAAGGAAGGAAGGAAGGAAGGAAGGAAGGAAGGAAGGAAGGAGGGAAGGAGGGAAGGAGGGAAGGAAGGAAGGAAGGAAGGAAGGAAGGAAGGAAGGAAGGAAGGAAGGAAGGAAGGAAGGAAGGAAGGAAGGAAAGAAAAAAAGAAAGAAAAAUAAAUAAAAUCAUAUGAAAAUAUUGAAUAAAGGGUCGCCAAACUUGCUCAGAAUUAAAAGAUGUCCCCUCCCCAGUUUCACCUAUCAUCUGCUACCUUGUACUUCUCUCAUCCCUGCUUCUUACUCUGACUUCUCAUCUUUCUCCCCAGUCCUGCUGAAGGGUAUCGGCCUGAAACAUUGACUGUUUAUUCUUUUGCAUAGACGCUGCCUGGCCUGCUGAGUUCCUCCAGCAUUUUUACGUGUGGCUUGGAUUUCCAGCAUCUACAGAUUUUCUCGACCAAGCUCUCCAAAGCACUUGUAAUAACCUACCAGCCCAUUUUUGUAUAAAACUGAAGCAGAAGAGUAUACCCUAAGAGAAUUGAUGCACAUUUAAAGGCAAAGUCUACUGGAAAAAAGAGAUCUCAUAUCUGAGGGUGAGCACAGAGGCACGAAAAAUGGGAGCCUUGAAGACUUUAAGGAAAUUGUAUUUUUAGGCAGUUAACUGAUAUAUGUUUUCUUUCUGGGCCACUUGAUCUGAAACUUCAUCACAGUGACACUGAUGUGCACGCAAUACCUGGCAGCAACAAUUCCCGUUUCCACACUGAGACGCAGCAGUAUCACGACUGAGAUCUAGCGAUCAAGACC